rnacentral:rRNA from 1 species
AUGAUGUUGUUGCUUUAUAUUUUAAAAGGAUUUUUGUUUAUUCAUGUAUUAAAUCUAACUGUGAAAAUCAAACAAUUUUGACCUGAACUCAGUCGAGAGCACCCGCUGAACUUAAGCAUAUCAGUAAGCGGAGGAAAAGAAACUAAAUAGGAUUCCCUUAGUAACGGCGAGUGAAA